rnacentral:rRNA from 2 species
UGGGGAAUUUUGCGCAAUGGGCGAAAGCCUGACGCAGCAACGCCGCGUGGAGGAUGAAGGCCUUCGGGUCGUAAACUCCUGUCGAUGGGGACGAAAGCCUGCAAAGGUUUGACUGUACCCGUUGAGGAAGCCACGGCUAACUCCGUGCCAGCAGCCGCGGUAAUACGGAGGUGGCAAGCGUUGUUCGGAAUUACUGGGCGUAAAGGGCGCGUAGGCGGCUUGGCGAGUCAGAUGUGAAAGCCCCGGGCUUAACUCGGGAAUUGCAUCUGAAACUGCUUUGCUUGAGUUCUGGAGGGGGUGGUGGAAUUCCCAGUGUAGCGGUGAAAUGCGUAGAUAUUGGGAGGAACACCUGCGGCGAAGGCGGCCACCUGGACAGUGACUGACGCUGAGGCGCGAAAGCUAGGGUAGCAAACGGG